GACGAACGCUGGCGGCGUGCCUAAUACAUGCAAGUAGAACGCACAGUUUAUACCGUAGCUUGCUACACCAUAGACUGUGAGUUGCGAACGGGUGAGUAACGCGUAGGUAACCUGCCUGGUAGCGGGGGAUAACUAUUGGAAACGAUAGCUAAUACCGCAUAAUAUUGAUUAUUGCAUGAUAAUUGAUUGAAAGAUGCUAUUGCAUCACUACCAGAUGGACCUGCGUUGUAUUAGCUAGUAGGUGAGGUAACGGCUCACCUAGGCGACGAUACAUAGCCGACCUGAGAGGGUGAUUGGCCAAACUGGGACUGAGACACGGCCCAGACUCCUACGGGAGGCAGCAGGAGGGAAUCUUCGGCAAUGGACGAAAGUCUGACCGAGCAACGCCGCGUGAGUGAAGAAGGUUUUCGGAUCGUAAAGCUCUGUUGUAAGAGAAGAACGGGUGUGAGAGUGGAAAGUUCACACUGUGACGGUAUCUUACCAGAAAGGGACGGCUAACUACGUG
rnacentral:rRNA from 1 species